rnacentral:rRNA from 1 species
AGACAUAGGGGGCUAGCGUUGUCCGGAAUUACUGGGCGUAAAGGGCGCGUAGGCGGGAUCUUAAGUCAGGUGUGAAAGACCGCAGCUUAACUGCGGGGUUGCACAUGAAACUGAGAUUCUUGAGGGCAGGAGAGGAAAGCAGAAUUCCUGGUGUAGCGGUGAAAUGCGUAGAAAUCAGGAGGAAUACCGGUGGCGAAGGCGGCUUUCUGGACUGACCCUGACGCUGAGGUGCGAAAGCGUGGGUAGCAAACAGGAUUAGAUACCCUGGUAGUCCACGCCGUAAACAAUGGAUACUAGGUGUAGGAGGUAUCGACCCCUUCUGUGCCGCAGCAAACGCAAUAAGUAUCCCGCCUGGGGAGUACGGUCGCAAGGCUGAA